GCUUGGGUGGCUCGGUCGGUUGAGCAUCUGACUUCAGCUCAGAUCACGAUCUCAGGGUCCGUGGGUUCGAGCCCCGCGUCGGGCU
rnacentral:tRNA from 1 species